UACGGAGGGGGCUAGCGUUGUCCGAAAUUACUGGGCGUAAAGCGCACGUAGGCGGCUUUGUAAGUUAGAGGUGAAAGCCUGGAGCCCCACUCCAGAAUUGCCUUUAAGAAUGCAUCGCUUGAAUCCAGGAGAGGUGAGUGGAAUUCCGAGUGUAGAGGUGAAAUUCGUAGAUAUUCGGAAGAACACCAGUGGCGAAGGCGGCUCACUGGACUGGUAUUGACGCUGAGGUGCGAAAGCGUGGGGAGCAAACAGG
rnacentral:rRNA from 1 species